GACGAACGCUGGCGGCGUGCUUAACACAUGCAAGUCGAACGGAAAGGCCCUGCUUUUGUGGGGUGCUCGAGUGGCGAACGGGUGAGUAACACGUGAGUAACCUGCCCUUGACUUUGGGAUAACUUCAGGAAACUGGGGCUAAUACCGGAUAGGAGCUCCUGCUGCAUGGUGGGGGUUGGAAAGUUUCGGCGGUUGGGGAUGGACUCGCGGCUUACCAGCUUGUUGGUGGGGUAGUGGCUUACCAAGGCUUUGACGGGUAGCCGGCCUGAGAGGGUGACCGGCCACAUUGGGACUGAGAUACGGCCCAGACUCCUACGGGAGGCAGCAGUGGGGAAUAUUGCACAAUGGGCGGAAGCCUGAUGCAGCAACGCCGCGUGCGGGAUGACGGCCUUCGGGUUGUAAACCGCUUUCGCCUGUGACGAAGCGUGAGUGACGGUAAUGGGUAAAGAAGCACCGGCUAACUACGUGCCAGCAGCCGCGGUGAUACGUAGGGUGCGAGCGUUGUCCGGAUUUAUUGGGCGUAAAGGGCUCGUAGGUGGUUGAUCGCGUCGGAAGUGUAAUCUUGGGGCUUAACCCUGAGCGUGCUUUCGAUACGGGUUGACUUGAGGAAGGUAGGGGGAGAAUGGAAUUCCUGGUGGAGCGGUGGAAUGCGCAGAUAUCAGGAGGAACACCAGUGGCGAAGGCGGUUCUCUGGGCCUUUCCUGACGCUGAGGAGCGAAAGCGUGGGGAGCAAACAGGCUUAGAUACCCUGGUAGUCCACGCUGUAAACGGUGGGUACUAGGUGUGGGGUCCAUUCCACGGGUUCCGUGCCGUAGCUAACGCUUUAAGUACCCCGCCUGGGGAGUACGGCCGCAAGGCUAAAACUCAAAGGAAUUGACGGGGCCCCGCACAAGCGGCGGAGCAUGCGGAUUAAUUCGAUGCAACGCGUAGAACCUUACCUGGGUUUGACAUGGAUCGGGAGUGCUCAGAGAUGGGUGUGCCUCUUUUGGGGUCGGUUCACAGGUGGUGCAUGCCUGUCGUCAGCUCGUGUCGUGAGAUGUUGGGUUAAGUCCCGCAACGAGCGCAACCCUUGUUCACUGUUGCCAGCACGUUAUGGUGGGGACUCAGUGGAGACCACCGGGGUCAACUCGGAGGAAGGUGGGGAUGACGUCAAGUCCUCAUGCCCCUUAUGUCCAGGGCUUCACGCAUGCUACAAUGGCUGGUACAGAGAGUGGCGAGCCUGUGAGGGUGAGCGAAUCUCGGAAAGCCGGUCUCAGUUCGGAUUGGGGUCUGCAACUCGACCUCAUGAAGUCGGAGUCGCUAGUAAUCGCAGAUCAGCAACGCUGCGGUGAAUACGUUCCCGGG
rnacentral:rRNA from 1 species